rnacentral:lncRNA from 1 species
CAUUAUAGGAAAAGGGUGUUCAUCAGAUGAAAUUUAUCAAUUUCGAUAGAUGAGUAGUCCUAUGUAGAUCAUGACUAGUCCAUGACCAUAGAAGUGUGAAUGAUGGAAAGGUGUUUUCAUAAAAUUUUUACAAGUGGACUCGAGUCGAUUGAUUUUAUCAUAUGACAUGAAUCAGGUUUGACGAGUUAUCUUUAACCUCGAUUUUAUCGAAACUCAUGAUAGAAGAAUCGAAUCAUAUGGCAACUGCACCUAGAGGUUCAAUCGUUCGAUUCUGAUGGGUUGCCAUUAUAUAUUGCUGGGCAUCACUGGUAGAUUGUGGGACUAAUUAGAAUUAUCUUGAUGAUUGAUAAUUCUAAAUUGGCUGGAUUGGAAGGAGUUUCAAUCCAUUAAAAUUUUUUUUAAUGAUAUUGAUGAUAAAGAUCAUAAUAUCUUCCACCACCAGAAUUGAAUCUAUGGAGUCAUACAAAUAAGGAUAUUCGUCUAGGAUUGUACAAUUGGGCUAGCAUAGUCUAAUUGGAUUAGAAUUAAUUAAAUUCAAAUUUUGAGUUUAAAGAAAUCAUGCUAGCACAUGAUUAAAUCUAGUUUCUCUUUGAUUUGGAUUUCCUAUUGGAUAGGACUAAACCAAAUCAAAGCAAACUCAUUUGGACAUCAAGAGUUAGAGUCCCUUAAGCCACCCAUAUAAGAAUUAAGAAACUAUUGGUGCCCCACAUUUUUCUUUGUGAGUUUACGGGAGAGAAUAAGUGGGACGCCCAAAUGGAUAAGAUCCAGGGCAUGCGCCACUUGUGGAUAAGGGAGAGAAGAUAAGGGCUUCAUCCUAUUUGAAUUUGAAGAGUUCAAAUUUGAUUUGAGAUAAAGGGAUAAAAGCCCAUUUGAAUUUGAGUUCAAAUUUGAAGUGUUCAAAUUUGAAUUGAUGGAGGGAUAAAGAUAAGGGAUAGUGUCCAUUUAAAUUCGAAGGAGUCUUAUCACUUGUGGAUAAGAUAAGGGCUUGUGCCCUAUUUGAAUUUGAAUGGCACGUCUAUCUUGUUUUCUCAUAGAGAUUCUAUGAAGAAAUGGCAUGAAAAUGAGAGGGAGGGGGCGCUAGAUGCUAAGAGUCCUUCUACUUUAAGUCAUUGGAUGAUUUAAAGCCCUAGGACUCUUAGGUUUCUAAUUCUAUAAAUAGGCCUCCUACUAUAUUAUUUUAUUCAUUCCAUUCCUAAGAGCUCUUCUACUUUCUCCAUGCUAUCUUUCUCUCCUCUUUACUCUUUCCUCCUCUCCCACACCUAAAGGUGUUGGGCUGAUCAAUCAGGUGUGCUCGAAGGGUCAGGUACUGGUCAAUUUGUGCAAAGAAAGAAGAAGGUUACGAUCAAAGGUUGAUCGAGGUUCUAUCGAAGAUCUGAUCGAAGGCAGAUCAAAGAGCUUGCUGAUCUAUUUUGGAGAAGAUGGAUUAAAGUUGGAGAAGGCAUCCUAGUCUGAGCCCAAGUGGAUACUUAUAGAGACCAGACACAUAUGGCUCAAUAGCGAAUCUCAGACUCCACGAUCAUCGAAUUACAGUGUUCACUAUCCACACAAGGUGAUGAUGCGAUUAUCAUGACAUUAAUCUACUUAAAAAUUAUUUUAAAUUCUCCAUACAUCUGACUUGCGAAUGUUUUUUUGUGUGUUUCUAGUGUUUGCAUAUCUUUCUUCUUUGUCCAUUUUCUUGUCUUUCUGCAAAAAUGACUAAAUAAAAUAGUCGGCAAGACUAACUAAAGUAGUCGGUAGGAUGCUGCAAAUUGAGUAGAUCAUAAUCGAACAUAUAGACUUAAAAAUUUUUUAAGUCCAGUAAUCGAUUUUUGCAAGCAAAC